rnacentral:rRNA from 1 species
AGUGAGUAACACGUGAGCAACCUGCCCCUGACUUUGGGAUAAGCGCUGGAAACGGCGUCUAAUACUGGAUACGAGUAGCGGCCGCAUGGUCAGUUACUGGAAAGAUUUUUUGGUUGGGGAUGGGCUCGCGGCCUAUCAGCUUGUUGGUGAGGUAAUGGCUCACCAAGGCGUCGACGGGUAGCCGGCCUGAGAGGGUGACCGGCCACACUGGGACUGAGACACGGCCCAGACUCCUACGGGAGGCAGCAGUGGGGAAUAUUGCACAAUGGGCGGAAGCCUGAUGCAGCAACGCCGCGUGAGGGAUGACGGCCUUCGGGUUGUAAACCUCUUUUAGCAGGGAAGAAGCGAAAGUGACGGUACCUGCAGAAAAAGCGCCGGCUAACUACGUGCCAGCAGCCGCGGUAAUACGUAGGGCGCAAGCGUUAUCCGGAAUUAUUGGGCGUAAAGAGCUCGUAGGCGGUUUGUCGCGUCUGCUGUGAAAUCCCGAGGCUCAACCUCGGGCCUGCAGUGGGUACGGGCAGACUAGAGUGCGGUAGGGGAGAUUGGAAUUCCUGGUGUAGCGGUGGAAUGCGCAGAUAUCAGGAGGAACACCGAUGGCGAAGGCAGAUCUCUGGGCCGUAACUGACGCUGAGGAGCGAAAGGGUGGGGAGCAAACAGGCUUAGAUACCCUGGUAGUCCACCCCGUAAACGUUGGGAACUAGUUGUGGGGUCCAUUCCACGGAUUCCGUGACGCAGCUAACGCAUUAAGUUUCCCCGCCUGGGGGAGUACGGCCGCAAGGCUAAAACUCAAAAGGAAUUUGACGGGGACCCGCACAAGCGGCGGAGCAUGCGGAUUAAUUCGAUGCAACGCGAAGAACCUUACCAAGGCUUGACAUAUACGAGAACGGGCCAGAAAUGGUCAACUCUUUGGACACUCGUAAACAGGUGGUGCAUGGUUGUCGUCAGCUCGUGUCGUGAGAUGUUGGGUUAAGUCCCGCAACGAGCGCAACCCUCGUUCUAUGUUGCCAGCACGUAAUGGUGGGAACUCAUGGGAUACUGCCGGGGUCAACUCGGAGGAAGGUGGGGAUGACGUCAAAUCAUCAUGCCCCUUAUGUCUUGGGCUUCACGCAUGCUACAAUGGCCGGUACAAAGGGCUGCAAUACCGCGAGGUGGAGCGAAUCCCAAAAAGCCGGUCCCAGUUCGGAUUGAGGUCUGCAACUCGACCUCAUGAAGUCGGAGUCGCUAGUAAUCGCAGAUCAGCAACGCUGCGGUGAAUACGUUCCCGGGUCUUGUACACACCGCCCGUCAAGUCAUGAAAGUCGGUAACACCUGAAGCCGGUGGCCUAUCCCUUGUGGAGGGAGCCGUCGAAGGUGGGAUCGGUAAUAGGACU